GACUAGUACCACCUCACACCCGCAGAGCACUGGGCCCUGCCUGGGGUGAAAUGCCAGUUGCUUGAGUC
ensembl:snoRNA